UUGUUCAUCAAAUCAUACUUUAUUGAAAGUUGUUUUUCCUUGUACUAAAAAUAAAACUAUUACAUUGAGUCAUAACCUGAAAUUGAACAGCAUCAACUAUAAAACUCACUGCUUGGCAAGGUGGAAACUGGCUUCAAAUCAUUCUAAGACGACACAAAACCACAUCUAGUGGGAAACAGACAAAUCCUUGUCAAAACGGCUCUACAUUUCAAGUGUAGAUCAAACUAUUGAAAACUGGCUGAAAACGUUCAUGAGAUUAAACACAAUUCAGGACACUAUCCAAAAUGAAACGAUUAGCACAAAUAUUGGUUACAAACUUCUUAUUUUAUAUUCAGCCAAUUACAUUUUAGAAAAAUAUAUCAAAUAUUUAUUUCAGAAAAAUAUAUUUGCAGACAGGAUUAUCCAUUUCAAAAAAAGGUUAACAAUUAUAUAACUUUAAAAAGUUUUUAACUUAUCAAUAUUACUAUUUACAUUUAUAUUUUCUGGCAGCUUUAGAAAGCAGUCUUGAUACUGGGACAAUACGUAUUUUAUUUCAUUUAAUACAUCCAUUGACAUUAAAGGAGUAUCCACAUUACAGUGUAAAGUUUCAGUAUUACUUGUGGCUUGAUGGCUCCUUCCUUAUGGUUGUGUGUAGACUACACUGUAGUGGUUAUCUUUCCAUUCAAACAGAAUGUUAGUAAGACGGUAUGAAAUCACCAUGUCUACUGUCUGGUUAGUAGCCAUUUCCCCCAUACCCAGUGUUAGGUAGUGUAAACAUGCGAGGCUAUACAUGAAGCAGUACAGUGCUUGUGGUUAAUAACAGCUAGAAAAGGCAAGGCACACUGAUAAAACGGUUCACAGCCACAUACACAAUGACUUGAUCAAGCACUCAAUCAAUCGAUCAUUCUCUUCAUCCUCAAGGAUCCUUCAGUUCUUCAAACGAUCUCUGAUCAUGACGAUAACCGAUCAAUACCCCAUGAUGUGGUUAAUGUGGCCCUGAGAAGAGACUCAUUAUGUGACACAGGUAAUCUUUAUGGAAUUAACCGUUUACAUGAUGGUAGCAUUCCAAAUGGCACCCUCUCCACUAUGUAGUGCACUAUAUAGGGGAACAGGGUAGUGCACUAUGUGGGGAACAGGGUAGUGCACUAUGUGGGGAACAGGGUAGUGCACUAUGUGGGGAACAGGGUAGUGCACUAUAGGGGAACAGGGUAGUGCACUAUAUGGGGAACAGGGGUAGUGCACUAUAUAGGGGAACAGGGUAGUGCACUAUAUAGGGGAACAGGGUAGUGCAAUAUAGGGGAACAGGGUAGUGCACUAUGAUGGGGAACAGGGUAGUGCACUAUAUAGGGGAACAGGGUAGUGCACUAUAUGGGGAACAGGGGUAGUGCACUACGUGGGGAACAGGGUAGUGCACUACGUGGGGAACAGGGUAGUGCACCACGUGGGGAACAGGGUAGUGCACUACGUGGGGAACAGGGUAGUGCACUAUAUAGGGAAUAGGGUGCCAUUUGGGACUGAACCCAUGUCAUGUUCAUUAAUCAGUCCCUCCAGCAUUCUGAUGGGAUUUUUGCAGAGCAAACGGCUUGACUUUGCUGCGGCAAUCCUGACAUUUUGCAUGGCUAUGAUUUAGUCCAAUUUGUCGUGAAACUGAGCUGACGGGGGGGAAGAUUUGUUGAUGCGUGGCUUCAUUUAAACACAUUAUGUAGUAAAUGUACUCUGAUUGGUUGAAAUUGCAAGCCCUAUUUUUGUACUGCGGGCGAUGGGCCUGGUUUAUGUGACAACAUUGCGAUGAUUUGACUGUCGCACGUGGAAAGAGUGCAGUGAUUGGUCAAAUGUACAAGUCCCCGCAUAAUACGCAGGGAAUUAUUGAUUUAGCAAUAAAUAAAUACAAAUAAUUGCAGAAACCUGGAGGGACUGAUUAACCCGUUUAACAUGAAAAAGUCCAGAACGUCGACUCGGCCCAAGGUGAGCAUGAACAGCAAAGGGCUCCAUGGUCAAUAUGGUAGGUUCUUUAGCCCGAGGGACAGCCCUUCUAAAAUAGGCAUCUUUUAUUAUGUUGAUUUUAUAGGUGCAACAAUUGUCCCCAAAGUAAGAGACAUAAUAUCCCAUAUUAGUUAUUAGGAAUGUUUGACUAUAUGUGCUAUAGCUGUUAAAUCCCGAUUGCCACUGAUGAGACAUUAGUUUUGGUGUACAAAAUGCUGGGUUUAGGCCUAGACACUGACAUCAGUCACUACUGGGACAUGUUCAGGCAAAACAUCAGGACACUACUUACGGGCUCCCCUGCCAGGCACCGAUUACAACAUUGGCUGCCUUGGACUGCAUAGACCUGUACAAGAGACAACACGAGCCUGGAGGGUUACUACGGCAAUAAGUACACUCGAUUACUUAAUGGAUUGUCAUAUUGUAGUUCUGCAAUAAAACAUUUUUGAGGAUAAACACUGCAUAGAAGACAAGACUAUUCAAAGUAAAACGAAUUAUGACAGAAGGACAAAUCCACAGUGGAGUGAAAAGAUAUUCAAAUAUAAAAUGUCAACAGUGUGGCACUAGCCACAUUCCUUGGGUAAGGAUGAGAUGCAAUUUCCCAAACAGUUAUUGCUUCCUUGACAUCACCAGCAUUGAGGAAAAAAAACUGUCGUAAAGAUAGCCAAGGGUACACCUUAUAGAGAUACAGAUAUUGAGGAAGCAUGUUGUCAUGGAUACGCCUAGUGUCCCUUACUGCUUGACCUAUGAACCUUUAUUACGACUCCAGCGUCAUCAUGAUUCAAGGAGGAAAACAUGGACCGU
ensembl:lncRNA